rnacentral:rRNA from 1 species
AUUGAACGCUGGCGGCAUGCUUUACCCAUGCAAGUCGAACGGUAACAGGUUAAGCUGACGAGUGGCGAACGAGUGAGUAAUGCAUCGGAACGUGCCCGGUCGUGGGGGAUAACGCAGCGAAAGCUGCGCUAAUACCGCAUACGAUCUGAGGAUGAAAGCGGGGGACCGUAAGGCCUCGCGCGAUCGGAGUGGCCGAUGUCAGAUUAGGUAGUUGGUGGGGUAAAGGCUCACCAAGCCAACGAUCUGUAGCUGGUCUGAGAGGACGACCAGCCACACUGGGACUGGGACACGGCCCAGACUCCUACGGGAGGCAGCAGUGGGGAAUGUUGGCCAGUGGGCGAAAGCCUGAUCCAGCAAUGCCGCGUGCAGGAAGAAGGCCUUCGGGUUGUAAACUGCUUUUGUACGGAGCGAAAAGGUCUCCUCUAAUACAGGGGGCUCAUGACGGUACCGUAAGAAUAAGCACCGGCUAACUACGUGCCAGCCGCCGCAGUAA